rnacentral:rRNA from 1 species
AGAGUUUGAUCCUGGCUCAGGAUGAACGCUAGCGGCAGGCCUAACACAUGCAAGUCGAACGGUAACAGGUUUUUCGGGAUGCUGACGAGUGGCGCACGGGUGCGUAACGCGUAUGCAAUCUACCUCUAACUGAAGAAUAGCCCAGGGAAACUUGGAUUAAUACUUCAUAAAAUCACAUUAUCUCAUGAUAAAAUGAUUAAAGCUUUGGCGGUUAGAGAUGAGCAUGCGUCCCAUUAGCUUGUUGGUGAGGUAACGGCUCACCAAGGCUACGAUGGGUAGGGGGUCUGAGAGGAUUAUCCCCCACACUGGUACUGAGACACGGACCAGACUCCUACGGGAGGCAGCAGUGAGGAAUAUUGGGCAAUGGACGAAAGUCUGACCCAGCCAUGCCGCGUGCAGGAUGACGGCCCUAUGGGUUGUAAACUGCUUUUAUGUAGGUAGAAACCCCUCUACGUGUAGAGGGCUGACGGUACUACUUGAAUAAGCAUCGGCUAACUCCGUGCCAGCAGCCGCGGUAAUACGGAGGAUGCAAGCGUUAUCCGGAUUCAUUGGGUUUAAAGGGUCCGUAGGCGGAUUUUUAAGUCAGGGGUGAAAGCCUACAGCCCAACUGUAGAAUUGCCUUUGAUACUGGAAGUCUUGAGUAUAAUUGAAGUGGGCGGAAUACGUCAUGUAGCGGUGAAAUGCAUAGAUAUGACGUAGAACACCGAUUGCGAAGGCAGCUCACUAAGUUAUAACUGACGCUGAGGGACGAAAGCGUGGGGAGCAAACAGGAUUAGAUACCCUGGUAGUCCACGCUGUAAACGAUGAUAACUCGCUGUUGGCGAUAUACAGUCAGCGGCUAAGCGAAAGCGUUAAGUUAUCCACCUGGGGAGUACGUUCGCAAGAAUGAAACUCAAAGGAAUUGACGGGGGCCCGCACAAGCGGUGGAGCAUGUGGUUUAAUUCGAUGAUACGCGAGGAACCUUACCAGGGCUUAAAUGUAGACUGACCUUUCUGGAAACAGAGAUUCUCUUCGGAGCAAUUUACAAGGUGCUGCAUGGUUGUCGUCAGCUCGUGCCGUGAGGUGUUAGGUUAAGUCCUGCAACGAGCGCAACCCCUAUCUUUAGUUGCCAGCGAGUAAUGUCGGGGACUCUAAAGAGACUGCCAGCGCAAGCUGUGAGGAAGGUGGGGAUGACGUCAAAUCAUCACGGCCCUUACGUCCUGGGCUACACACGUGCUACAAUGGUAGAGACAGAGGGCAGCCACCUGGUGACAGGGAGCGAAUCCUUAAACUCUAUCUCAGUUCGGAUCGAAGUCUGCAACUCGACUUCGUGAAGCUGGAAUCGCUAGUAAUCGCGCAUCAGCCAUGGCGCGGUGAAUACGUUCCCGGGCCCCUACACACCGCCCGUCAAGCCAUGGGAGUUGGGAGUGCCUGAAGUCGGUAACCGCAAGGAGCUGCCUAGGGUAAGACCAAUGACUGGGGCUAAGUCGGAACAAGGUA